GAUGAAGAACGUAGCGAAAUGCGAUAAGUAAUGUGAAUUGCAGAAUUCAGUGAAUCAUCGAAUCUUUGAACGCACAUUGCGCCCGCCAGCACUCUGGCGGGCAUGCCUGUUCGAGCGUCAUUUCGACCAUCAGGCCCUCCGGGCUUGUGUUGGGGCUCCCUGCGGCUGUCCGCAGGCCCUGAAAACCAGUGGCGGGCUUGCAAAGUCACACCGAGCGCAGUAGAUUUUUUUCAUCUCGCUCAGGGCGUGCGUGCGGGCGCCGGCCGUAAAAGACGAGAGCGCGGCCUCGGACGCCCACAAAUACCACAAGGUUGACCUCGGAUCAGGUAGGAAUACCCGCUGAACUUAAGCAUAUCAAUAAGCGGAGGA
rnacentral:misc_RNA from 1 species